rnacentral:rRNA from 1 species
AUUGAACGCUGGCGGCAGGCCUAACACAUGCAAGUCGAGCGAGCGGCGGACGGGUGAGUAAUGUCUGGGAAACUGCCUGAUGGAGGGGGAUAACUACCGGAAACGGUAGCUAAUACCGCAUACUAUCAGAUGUGCAAAGAUGGGAUUAGCUAGUUGGUAGGGUAACGGCUCCCCAAGGCGACGAUGCCUAGCUGAUCUGAGAGGCUGACCAGCCACACUGGAACUGAGACACGGGCCAGACUCCUACGGGAGGCAGCAAUAGGGAAUAUGGCACAAUGGGCGCAAGCCUGAUGCAGCCAUGCCGCGUGUGUGAUGAAGGCCUUCGGAUUGUAAAGCACUUUCAGCGGGGAAGCGUUACCCGCAGAAGAAGCACCGGCUAACUACGUGCCAGCAGCCGCGGUAAUUC